ACUGGGCAGAGGUUUGACUGGCAAGCAGCUCUGGGUGUACAUUUCAUCCAAGAGUCUCAUGGUGGUCGAAGGAGAUCCCCAGAUGCAAAAUCAAAGUUGCUUGGAUUUCCAUUUCUUCCCCAUCUAGGAAAAGGGCAAUGGAAUCAAAGCCUUUAAAAAAUGUAGUAAGAGAAAGACUCUCUAAUUGAUCAGAACCUUCUGGCAACCAGCACUUUGGCCCAUCUACUGAAAAAUACUUUAUCAGUGUCUUUAGUAAAGGCCCCCAAGAUGCACAAUACAUUUUUGGUUGUUGAAAUAGAGUGUCUUCUAAGUCAUCAAGUAAAAGAGAAAUUCUGCUCAGAAGACUUUUGGAUAGUACCCAACAUUUGGUGAGGCUUACUAUAUUACAUGCAUUACCUCGCUAAAUCACCACAUUAGAACACUUACAGGAUGAUGGGAAGCCAUUUCUGUGCAGGGAACAACAAGAUAUCAAUCAACUUUGAGCAUCACCAGGAGGGUGAAAACAAUGGUACUGAAUUGCAAAUUGUAGGACUGCAGAAAUAAAGUUCUGUUCACAAAAAAGUGGGUGAUGGGGUCUUUAAAAAAAAAGUGUAGAGGAAUAUUUUCUCAACAUUUCAUAAACAGCCAUUUGAAAACUGCCCUAGAGCAAAUUGGAAGUCAGUACAAUGUCCAGGCGUUCACUUGUUAGACUUGGAAGAAUGUGCACACACAAACGGCAUUCU
rnacentral:lncRNA from 1 species